rnacentral:lncRNA from 1 species
UCGAACUGGAAUAAUUGAGAUGGCCGAUACUAGGCAUGCAUGUGCAUACAGAAAAGAGAGUAACCCAAUAGUGAGGAAGAAAUUGAUGCUGCAGGAGAGAGGGAAUAAUUGCCGAAGCAAAGAUCUUGAGGUACUGAGAAAGGAUGACCCUAAUUUCCUUAAUGCUGCAGCCUGCUUCCACUGAGGGACUGGAGGCUCCUUGAGCAAAAUUAUCUACCUCUUCACCUUUGGAUCUUUCACAGUUCCCAGUUCGGUGUACUACAGAUUGUACUUGCU